rnacentral:rRNA from 1 species
UACGAAGGGGCUAGCGUUGCUCGGAAUCACUGGCGUAAAGGGUGCGUAGGCGGGUCUUUAAGUCAGGGGUGAAAUCCUGGAGCUCAACUCCAGAACUGCCUUUGAUACUGAAGAUCUUGAGUUCGGGAGAGGUGAGUGGAACUGCGAGUGUAGAGGUGAAAUUCGUAGAUAUUCGCAAGAACACCAGUGGCGAAGGCGGCUCACUGGCCCGAUACUGACGCUGAGGCACGAAAGCGUGGGGAGCAAACAGG